UAAUCCAUUGUGCUCUGCACGCGUGGGUUCGAAUCCCAUCCUCGUCGAAAUUUUCAUUGUGGGAUAAAGUUAUGCUAGUUAAAAUAUGAGCAGCAUGGGCUGUUAGAUUAAAGGGCACAACUGAGCUUUCACUCCUCCCGAGCCCCGUUCUCCUCUGUCUUGGCACUUGACCAAUGGCCGUCCACGGCUGUGGUCCCAUGAAGAUCUCAUACAGCCAAUCAGAUGCUCCAUUUCACCUUCGAAAAUUCAACUUUUGACAACCAAUAGGAGAGCCGGAUUUGUGUCAACUCUGUAUCAGCGAUCCAGAGUUGACUUCAAGAAGCAAGUUUAAAUGGAUUAUAAGCCCACAUUUGUGUACACACCCAGGUCCACCCAGCUCCAGCUGCACACCAGCCCUGCAGCUGCUCGGGUGGCCUGGCAGAACCGGCAGGAUGCCAGUCAACCCCUUCCCAUAAAGUCUGCACCAAGGGCCGAGGCUGAUGUGUGGGAGCGGGUCACAGCACUGAGGGGGGAACCUGGCUGACCAGCGUCACAUCGCUCCAGCAACCCCCUCCGUAUCAUCCUUCACCGUCCAGAGGACCACACCAGCCCAUCCUCAUUCCAGCCAGUCACUGUUUAAUCCUAGGAUGAGAAGGGCCAUUUUCCUGUCAGGUUCCUUUGAUGAGGACAACAAGCUGCUGGUGGAAGCUGCUGCUGCUGCUGAACUGGCUGCUUCAGGUGAGUAUCUGUGUUUCAUCGAGCUGUGAAUGUGGACAAAGUCAUGUAUUCUUUUACUUUAAUGUAGUCAGUACAAGGAGAGGUCAUAGGCAGUACAUCACGUGAGCUGUGUUGCCAUGUUGGCUCAGCUUUUAAUUCAUAAAAUUGGAUGCAAUACUAUCUAAUGAGUAUAAUGUUUAUAUACAUAUUAAACUUUUAUAUGUUUCUUUGUUCUAUUUUCAGUCAGCAGUGUUACUUUUCUUCUAUCUACAUGUGUAUUAUAUGGAAUUGAACAUUGUACAUAUUUACUAAGAGCUUUUACUAUUCUCCAUUCAUUACUACAUCAUUUACUAAGACCCCACACUGUUCUGUAGUUAUUUUGUCUGCAGUUAAACUGCCUUACAACUGCUGAAACCCUUUUCUAUCCUUACCCCAGCCGGGGAUUGAACUGCCAACUUUCUGCUCUGCACCAGAUACACAGGAGCAGAACCCUCCUUUCCUCUCUUCCUGUCUCCCCCCUUCACAGAGACGAAUAGACGGUAUCCUGACUUCAUCAUGAGGCAGAUUCUAUGAGCCAUGUCAAAAUAGUAAAAAUUGUUUUGGUUUGACUUCUAGUAAGCUACGGAAUCUAAUUUAUGCAAGUAAACAACUGGCACACAGGCCCUUGAAUAGCAAGUGAAGACAGCAUGCUGUGUAUGUGGCACCCAAAAUGUUUAGGUUUGGACUCCUGCACCAUCCUGUGAGACAAGCUGGUGAUACAGGCGUGCUUCUCCACCUUGCAGAUGUGCACAGAUAAAAGGUGUUGCUUACCUUGAUGACAUGUUUGAAGUGAAAGUGCGUGCCUGUUGCUUGCACCUCUUCAUCCAACCAGUUCACCUCGACCGCCUCUUGUUUUACCAUUCCUCCCUCGCAAUGCUUAAAACUUAUUAACAGGCUGGAAAAAAGACAGAUAGGAUUUUUAAAGAGGGAGCAUUCAUGCAGUCAUUUAGUUUUAUUUUAUUGUGGCAUUGUUUAUAUAUACUUGUAAAACUAAACAUUAAAUGGGUAGAUAUAUAGAUAGAUAGCAUUUGGUUUAUUUAACUUGGAUAAUGCUGCCAUCUAGUGGUCACACAACAAAACACAAUGAAAAUAUUUUCUGUGCAGAUUUUGAACAUGAACAGCUCUCAUAAGUCCUCACUGAAUGUUUGUAUUACAAUGCUGCCUUAAAUCAACAAAUUCAAAUGCAUUCAUUUGCACAAUAGGUCUUUUUCACAGAAGACAUGUUGACACAUCACAGUCGGAAAAGCAUAGGUAUAAAUAAUAUAAUUAAUGAUGGCUGAAUUUCAUUUAGUUGCUUGAGUUGUUCAUGCUGGCUCACUGUCAGAGCUUACAGGGGCACUUGAGCAGAACAUCGUUACUGGCAUUGUUAUUAGUAACACUUGCGCUUUUUACUAUGGCAAGUCAAAAUGUGCUGUGAAAAAGGGCUAUGAGGCAUUUAUGAACAACUAAACACCAAAGUUUGCAUUUAAUAUUAAAUACAACUUAAAUUUUAUAAAUCACAUUUGCUGCUAAAUGGACUUGUGAGUUUAUCACUGAUAUUAUAAGCAGCAUCACACUGUAUAUAUAUAUAUAUAUGAACCCCAAAUACCUGUAGGGAAAAAGUAAUAUUUUUUUUCUGUAAACAAAGAUGGUCUUGACACACAGGGUAUGAUCAGCAUUUUUUACUUUACAAGCAUUUAAAUAUAGUACUAUAGCCUGUAUCAGCCUGUCUUAAAGUUACUACAAGGAACUCUGAACUGGUUAUGAAACAGUCUCAAGAUGCCUGUAUAUGACCUACAUAAGCAAACAAGACCAUCAACGAGAAUAUUGACUUCGAUCAGGCGGUAAGGAGUGAGUGGUCGAGUAUGAUGGCAAAAAUGACAUCGGAGCAGGAAUAGGAGAACGAAAUUGAAAUUAAGGACACAAUUCUGUGACCAUUCUUGUCACAGAAUGGUAGUGGUGACAAGAACGGAUGGCAUUUUCAAGAAUCCACAUGAGGUUUGAAAGUUUGUUGAAGGAAAACUUGUAGCUGUUAAGUCAGUCAGGAUAACUAGAAGUGAGAUGGUCAUAAUUGAUUGUAUAUGUAAGCGUCAGCGAUUGAAAGCCCUGAACAUUAAUACAUAUAAAGAUCAUAGCUGCGUGGAAUGUUUCUGACUUGGACCAGAAGCAAAGAAGGAAGGAGUAAUAAGUGGCGUGCCACUGUCAAUAGGCGCUGAGUCGUUUGAGUAGGUUUAAAAUGUGUUUGAAGCAAGAAGAAUGAAAAGAUUCAGAAAAGGUAAAAAAGAAGACAGCAAGUCGAUAUGUUUGACCUUUAAAGGAGAAGUACCAGAAAGAGAGUGCCUGGAUUAUGUGUACUACAAGGUGAGGCCAUAUGAGAGGGCUCCUCUCAGAUGUUUUUGCUGUCAGGAAUAUGGACAAGUGGGAAGGACAACUGCAAAAUGAAGGACUGUAAAGAACAAGCAAAGUGCCUGCACAGUGAGGGGAAGCAAUAUGCAGGGUCAGCACAGUGUCCAAAAAGGAUUAAAGAAGUAAAAGUGAGUAAGAUCAGAACAGAAAUGGGCCAAAGCUGUUAAGAGAAUGGAAAGAAACAACAAGAUGGUGGCAGUACAAAAGGAACCAGAGCAGAAAAGUUAUGGAGCUGAACAACAUAUCUGCUUAUUGGCAUUCAUUGCCAGUUGUGCUAUUGAAAUACAUGGGAAUCAGAAAGGAUGAAGAUGGUGUUGGACGCUGCCAGGAGAUUCUUGAAUGAUGUGGUCAUUUCUGGAGAGGAGCUGGAUUUAACACUGAGGGAGGGAGGCAUUUGGGGUUAUAGAAUGGACACUGCGAUUAGGAGCACUUUGGGUGAACGCUGUAAAUAGUUUACACUGUGGAACUGAUAAAAUUCAGUAGUGAGCGGUAAUGCAUCUGAAAGGUGUUUGCUAACUGCCAAUAAACAACAAAAGAAGCAGAAGGAAGAAAAUUGGCUAUUUCUGUAGUUCUUCUAAAUGCCUGCGGCUGGCUUGGAAAUCAGGCUAAAUGAUUUAGGGCACGAAGACUAGAAGCGCUUAUGUUUACAUUACAUUUAGCAUGAGGGAGUACAAAGAUGUUACAAGGACAGGGGGAAAACAGUUCUACCUGUUUCAUAACGUUAGAAGUAAAGUUAGACUUUUUGUCAGCUUCCAGACUCGUUUUAAAAAAGACAAGAGAAAGAGAGAGAACGUGUGUGAGAGAGCAGUGGUGGUCAAGCGAGCUAGAGAGUGAAUGAAGAGACUGAACGGCAGUGUAGCAAGAAAAAAGCAGUGAAUCUGAGAAAUAAAAUGUUAUUUUCUCAUUGUUUCACGGUGGUUAUGUUCUACAGCACAGAUAAACACACCCACACCUCCGCACAACCCAGCGGGAAGGUGCUACAUCGCUGGAUUUGGUUGAAUGCAGCCUUACAUGUAACCUAGGUGUAUGAAUGGUACUAAAAAAAAGUUUACUUUGCUUCACCAUUGUCAUAUUACAAUUAUUAUUUUUACAU